UAGGAAUGGGGUGAGUUCAAUUGUUAGGAAUAGGGUGAAUAGAAUAGGUUUGAUGAGGUUAGCAGGGCUUGGAUUUGGAAGGGUAUGGAGCAAGAGACAGCAAAAGGGCGGCCUUGCACGCAUGUUUCUCAAGAAGUCAUAGCAUAGGUAUGAUCAUUGGCUUACUUUCAGCUGCUUAAGCUAAGAAAGUUGGUUGGCUUCCUUUAUGGUCACAGCUAUUGUUUUUUGCUUAAAAUAUCCCAAGUUAACCUCUUAAUGGAUGAUUUAGAAAUUCUGAGAGAAUUAGAAUUAACAUAGCCUAACAUUGACUUGGGAAUACCUAUAUAAGGUUCGCGUAAUUUGCAACUAUUCAGAAAGGUGAG
rnacentral:lncRNA from 1 species